UGUUAAAAUUUCAUCCUUUUUUACUGUUAAAAACUGGUGUGGCUAAUGAAAUAAUUAGAUAGUUACAUCUGGAGUGCCACAUGUACCUUAUGCUAACAUACAGGUACCAGUUUUUAAUAGUAAAAAUGGAUGGAAUUUUUAUCA
rfam:Gossypium raimondii Chr04_contig_40, whole genome shotgun sequence.